rnacentral:rRNA from 1 species
GAUUGAACGCUGGCGGCAUGCCUUACACAUGCAAGUCGAACGGCAGCACGGGUGCUUGCACCUGGUGGCGAGUGGCGAACGGGUGAGUAAUACAUCGGAACAUGUCCUGUAGUGGGGGAUAGCCCGGCGAAAGCCGGAUUAAUACCGCAUACGAUCUACGGAUGAAAGCGGGGGACCUUCGGGCCUCGCGCUAUAGGGUUGGCCGAUGGCUGAUUAGCUAGUUGGUGGGGUAAAGGCCUACCAAGGCGACGAUCAGUAGCUGGUCUGAGAGGACGACCAGCCACACUGGGACUGAGACACGGCCCAGACUCCUACGGGAGGCAGCAGUGGGGAAUUUUGGACAAUGGGCGAAAGCCUGAUCCAGCAAUGCCGCGUGUGUGAAGAAGGCCUUCGGGUUGUAAAGCACUUUUGUCCGGAAAGAAAUCCUUGGCCCUAAUACGGUCGGGGGAUGACGGUACCGGAAGAAUAAGCACCGGCUAACUACGU